GACGAACGCUGGCGGCGUGCUUAACACAUGCAAGUCGUACGGUAAGGCCCUUUCGGGGGUACACGAGUGGCGAACGGGUGAGUAACGCGUGAGUAACCUGCCCACAACUUUGGGAUAACGCUAGGAAACUGGUGCUAAUACUGGAUAUGUGCUCCUGCUGCAUGGUGGGGGUUGGAAAGCUCCGGCGGUUGUGGAUGGACUCGCGGCCUAUCAGCUUGUUGGUGGGGUAGUGGCCUACCAAGGCGGCGACGGGUAGCCGGCCUGAGAGGGUGACCGGCCACAUUGGGACUGAGAUACGGCCCAGACUCCUACGGGAGGCAGCAGUGGGGAAUAUUGCACAAUGGGCGCAAGCCUGAUGCAGCAACGCCGCGUGCGGGAUGACGGCCUUCGGGUUGUAAACCGCUUUCAGCAGGGACGAAGCUUCUUGUGACGGUACCUGCAGAAGAAGCACCGGCUAACUACGUG
rnacentral:rRNA from 1 species